GACGAACGCUGGCGGCGUGCCUAAUACAUGCAAGUAGAACGCUGAAGAGAGGAGCUUGCUCUUCUUGGAUGAGUUGCGAACGGGUGAGUAACGCGUAGGUAACCUGCCUGGUAGCGGGGGAUAACUAUUGGAAACGAUAGCUAAUACCGCAUAAAAUUGAUUAUUGCAUGAUACUUAAUUGAAAGAUGCAACUGCAUCACUACCAGAUGGAUCUGCGUUGUCUUAGCUAGUUGGUGAGGUAACGGCCCACCAAGGCGACGAUUCAUAGCCGACCUGAGAAGGUGGUCCGCCACACUGGGACUUAGACAACGCCCAGACUCCCACGGGGAGCAACAAUAGGGGAACAUCGGCAAAGGGGGGAACCCUUGCCGAACAACGGCGCGGGGGUGGAGGAAGGUUUCGGGUCGUAAAACUCUGUUGUAUGGGGAGAACGGGUGUGAGAGUGAAAAGUUCACGCUGUGACGGUAUCUAACCAGAAAGGGACGGCUAACUACGUG
rnacentral:rRNA from 1 species